rnacentral:rRNA from 1 species
AUUGAACGCUGGCGGCAUGCUUUACACAUGCAAGUCGAACGGCAGCGCGGGCUUCGGCCUGGCGGCGAGUGGCGAACGGGUGAGUAAUGCAUCGGAACGCGCCCAGUAGUGGGGGAUAGCCCGGCGAAAGCCGGAUUAAUACCGCAUACGACCUGAGGGUGAAAGCGGGGGACCGAAAGGCCUCGCGCUAUUGGAGCGGCCGAUGUCGGAUUAGCUAGUUGGUGGGGUAAAGGCUUACCAAGGCGACGAUCCGUAGCUGGUCUGAGAGGACGACCAGCCACACUGGGACUGAGACACGGCCCAGACUCCUACGGGAGGCAGCAGUGGGGAAUUUUGGACAAAGGGGGCAACCCUGAUCCAGCCAUGCCGCGUGCGGGAAGAAGGCCUUCGGGUUGUAAACCGCUUUUGUUCGGGAAGAAAUCCUCUGGGCUAAUACCCCGGGGGGAUGACGGUACCGGAAGAAUAAGCACCGGCUAACUACGUG